rnacentral:rRNA from 1 species
AUUGAACGCUGGCGACAGGCUUAACACAUGCAAGUCGAGCGGGGUGAUGGUGCUUGCACUAUCACUUAGCGGCGGACGGGUGAGUAAUGCUUAGGAAUCUGCCUAUUAGUGGGGGACAACAUCUCGAAAGGGAUGCUAAUACCGCAUACGUCCUACGGGAGAAAGCAGGGGAUCACUUGUGACCUUGCGCUAAUAGAUGAGCCUAAGUCGGAUUAGCUAGUUGGUGGGGUAAAGGCCUACCAAGGCGACGAUCUGUAGCGGGUCUGAGAGGAUGAUCAGCCACACUGGGACUGAGACACGGCCCAGACUCCUACGGGAGGCAGCAGUGGGGAAUAUUGGACAAUGGGGGGAGCCCUGAUCCAGCCAUGCCGCGUGUGUGAAGAAGGCCUUAUGGUUGUAAAGCACUUUAAGCGAGGAGGAGGCUACUCUAGUUAAUACCUAGGGAUAGUGGACGUUACUCGCAGAGUAAGCACCGGCUAACUCUGUGCCAGCAGCCGCCGUAA